rfam:Ornithorhynchus anatinus chromosome 4, whole genome shotgun sequence.
CCCCUCUCAAAGUCGCACCUGGAGAGUUCCCAGUACUCUACCAAUCCUGGCUAUGGGAGGGAGAGUCAAGCGGAGGCCUGUCCACUCCAUUCCUAGCUUGGCCAGUGGCUAGUGAGUGGAAGGCAAUCUGCUACAAGU